CGAAUGCUGACAUAAGUAACGAUAAAGCGGGUGAAAAGCCCGCUCGCCGGAAGACCAAGGGUUCCUGUCCAACGUUAAUCGGGGCAGGGUGAGUCGACCCCUAAGGCGAGGCCGAAAGGCGUAGUCGAUGGGAAACAGGUUAAUAUUCCUGUACUUGGUGUUACUGCGAAGGGGGGACGGAGAAGGCUAUGUUGGCCGGGCGACGGUUGUCCCGGUUUAAGCGUGUAGGCUGGUUUUCCAGGCAAAUCCGGAAAAUCAAGGCUGAGGCGUGAUGACGAGGCACUACGGUGCUGAAGCAACAAAUGCCCUGCUUCCAGGAAAAGCCUCUAAGCAUCAGGUAACAUCAAAUCGUACCCCAAACCGACACAGGUGGUCAGGUAGAGAAUACCAAGGCGCUUGAGAGAACUCGGGUGAAGGAACUAGGCAAAAUGGUGCCGUAACUUCGGGAGAAGGCACGCUGAUAUGUAGGUGAAGUCCCUCGCGGAUGGAGCUGAAAUCAGUCGAAGAUACCAGCUGGCUGCAACUGUUUAUUAAAAACACAGCACUGUGCAAACACGAAAGUGGACGUAUACGGUGUGACGCCUGCCCGGUGCCGGAAGGUUAAUUGAUGGGGUCAGCGCAAGCGAAGCUCUUGAUCGAAGCCCCGGUAAACGGCGGCCGUAACUAUAACGGUCCUAAGGUAGCGAAAUUCCUUGUCGGGUAAGUUCCGACCUGCACGAAUGGCGUAAUGAUGGCCAGGCUGUCUCCACCCGAGACUCAGUGAAAUUGAACUCGCUGUGAAGAUGCAGUGUACCCGCGGCAAGACGGAAAGACCCCGUGAACCUUUACUAUAGCUUGACACUGAACAUUGAGCCUUGAUGUGUAGGAUAGGUGGGAGGCUUUGAAGUGUGGACGCCAGUCUGCAUGGAGCCGACCUUGAAAUACCACCCUUUAAUGUUUGAUGUUCUAACGUGGACCCGUGAUCCGGGUUGCGGACAGUGUCUGGUGGGUAGUUUGACUGGGGCGGUCUCCUCCUAAAGAGUAACGGAGGAGCACGAAGGUUGGCUAAUCCUGGUCGGACAUCAGGAGGUUAGUGCAAUGGCAUAAGCCAGCUUGACUGCGAGCGUGACGGCGCGAGCAGGUGCGAAAGCAGGUCAUAGUGAUCCGGUGGUUCUGAAUGGAAGGGCCAUCGCUCAACGGAUAAAAGGUACUCCGGGGAUAACAGGCUGAUACCGCCCAAGAGUUCAUAUCGACGGCGGUGUUUGGCACCUCGAUGUCGGCUCAUCACAUCCUGGGGCUGAAGUAGGUCCCAAGGGUAUGGCUGUUCGCCAUUUAAAGUGGUACGCGAGCUGGGUUUAGAACGUCGUGAGACAGUUCGGUCCCUAUCUGCCGUGGGCGCUGGAGAACUGAGGGGGGCUGCUCCUAGUACGAGAGGACCGGAGUGGACGCAUCACUGGUGUUCGGGUUGUCAUGCCAAUGGCACUGCCCGGUAGCUAAAUGCGGAAGAGAUAAGUGCUGAAAGCAUCUAAGCACGAAACUUGCCCCGAGAUGAGUUCUCCCUGACCCUUUAAGGGUCC
rnacentral:rRNA from 1 species